GUAUUACAAUGAUAAUUGUCAGGAUCGGAGUGGAUUAAUGUCUCCGGAGAACUUGAAGGAACGAAGCUUGAUCCUAUCCCAGUAUAAACUAGGGGUAUCGGAGAAGGGUUUACUCUCACAGCUCCAGCAGAGACAGAUCAACAACCUGCAACCCUGACAAGGCAGAUGCUAGAUUCGAGAUGAUGAAAGCAAGAUUAAAACAAACGUUCUGAAGAUUUCUUUUAAGAGUAACGCCAAAACAGUGUGCAAACCAAAUUAUCCUCUGAAGUCUAUUUACAUUUUACAACUGAGCUUAAUUUUAGUUUUAUAUUUACGAUCUGUGAUACAUGCAAUGUAUAUACCUAAUGUUUUACUUUUACUAAAAGUAUAUGUCAAGAAUGUUUAAUGAAAUUUUCUGUCUUAAAAAUUUUAAUUUUACGGAUAAAAUGUGAUAUAUGGUUUUAUACAAAUAUUAUAUAAACUAGGAAUAAAUCUUAAUAUUUGAUCCA